GGAAUCUUCCACAAUGGACGAAAGUCUGAUGGAGCAACGCCGCGUGAGUGAUGAAGGGUUUCGGCUCGUAAAACUCUGUUGUUGGAGAAGAACGGGUGUCAGAGUAACUGUUGACAUCGUGACGGUAUCCAACCAGAAAGCCACGGCUAACUACGUGCCAGCAGCCGCGGUAAUACGUAGGUGGCAAGCGUUGUCCGGAUUUAUUGGGCGUAAAGCGAGCGCAGGCGGUUUUUUAGGUCUGAUGUGAAAGCCUUCGGCUUAACCGGAGAAGUGCAUCGGAAACCGGGAGACUUGAGUGCAGAAGAGGACAGUGGAACUCCAUGUGUAGCGGUGAAAUGCGUAGAUAUAUGGAAGAACACCAGUGGCGAAGGCGGCUGUCUGGUCUGCAAACUGACGCUGAGGCUCGAAAGCAUGGGUAGCGAACAGGAUUAGAUACCCUGGUAGUCCAUGCCGUAAAACGAUGAGUGC
rnacentral:rRNA from 1 species